AAGCGGAGACAGGUGGUGCAUGGUUGUCGUCAGCUCGUGUCGUGAGAUGUUGGGUUAAGUCCCGCAACGAGCGCAACCCUUACUGUUAGUUGCUACGCAAGAGCACUCUAGCAGGACCGCCGUUGACAAAACGGAGGAAGGUGGGGAUGAUGUCAAAUCAUCAUGCCCCUUAUGACCUGGGCCUCACACGUACUACAAUGGCCAUUAACAGAGGGAGGCAAAGCCGCGAGGCAGAGCAAAACCCUAAAAAUGGUCCCAGUUCGGAUCGCAGGCUGCAACCCGCCUGCGUGAAGUUGGAAUUGCUAGUAAUCGCGGAUCAGCAUGCCGCGGUGAAUACGUUCCCGGGCCUUGUACACACCGCCCGUCACACCAUGGAAGUCGGUAAUGCCCGAAGUCAGUAGCCUAACCGCAAGGGGGGCGCUGCCGAAGGCAGGAUUGAUGACUGGGGUGAAGUCGUAACAAGGUAGCCGUAUCGGAAGGUGCGGCUGGAUCACCUC
rnacentral:rRNA from 1 species